AUUGAACGCUGGCGGCAUGCCUUACACAUGCAAGUCGAACGGCAGCGCGGGAGCAAUCCUGGCGGCGAGUGGCGAACGGGUGAGUAAUAUAUCGGAACGUGCCCAGUAGUGGGGGAUAGCCCGGCGAAAGCCGGAUUAAUACCGCAUGAGACCUGAGGGUGAAAGCGGGGGAUCGCAAGACCUCGCGCUAUUGGAGCGGCCGAUAUCAGAUUAGCUAGUUGGUGGGGUAAAGGCCUACCAAGGCAACGAUCUGUAGUUGGUCUGAGAGGGCGACCAGCCACACUGGGACUGAGACACGGCCCAGACUCCUACGGGAGGCAGCAGUGGGGAAUUUUGGACAAUGGGCGCAAGCCUGAUCCAGCAAUGCCGCGUGC
rnacentral:rRNA from 1 species